CCAUGCGAAGCUUAAAUAACAUCUUUUGCUUUAUGAUAAUAGCUAAAAAUAAAUGAAAUGUUAAAAAUAUAAUUUUAAAUGAUUAAAUUUUGGAAUGUUUUAGAUGAUUCAAUUUAUGUGCUGGAAAUAUCUCUGCCCUAUUUAAAAUCAAAUAUGUAUUCCAAUGCCAAAAAAAGAGCACCACCUAUUAAUCUUAACCAACGUAGACAGAUAUAGGCCGGCAU
rnacentral:lncRNA from 1 species